UGGGGAAUAUUGGACAAUGGGCGAAAGCCUGAUCCAGCCAUGCCGCGUGUGUGAAGAAGGUCUUCGGAUUGUAAAGCACUUUAAGUUGGGAGGAAGGGCAUUAACCUAAUACGUUAGUGUUUUGACGUUACGGACAGAAUAAGCACCGGCUAACUCUGUGCCAGCAGCCGCGGUAAUACAGAGGGUGCAAGCGUUAAUCGGAAUUACUGGGCGUAAAGCGCGCGUAGGUGGUUUGUUAAGUUGGAUGUGAAAUCCCCGGGCUCAACCUGGGAACUGCAUUCAAAACUGACUGACUAGAGUAUGGUAGAGGGUGGUGGAAUUUCCUGUGUAGCGGUGAAAUGCGUAGAUAUAGGAAGGAACACCAGUGGCGAAGGCGACCACCUGGACUAAUACUGACACUGAGGUGCGAAAGCGUGGGGAGCAAACA
rnacentral:rRNA from 1 species